CCGCUCCGCGCCCGGCUCCGCCCGCCGCUCGCCCCGCACCCCGCGCCGCCGCCCAUGGUGCUGCCCGGCCCGCCCGGCAUGGCCCGCUCCGAGGAGGUGCACCGCCUCACCGAGAAUGUCUACAAGACCAUCAUGGAGCAGUUCAAUCCCAGCCUCAGGAAUUUCAUUUCUAUGGGGAAGACCUAUGAAAAAGCCUUAGCAAGCAUGACCUACGCAGCAAAGGGGUACUUUGAUGCUCUGGUGAAGAUGGGAGAGCUGGCCAGUGAAAGCCAAGGAUCGAAAGAAUUGGGGGACGUGCUCUUCCAGAUGGCAGAGGUGCACAGGCAGAUCCAGAACCAGCUGGAGGAGAUGCUCAAGUCCUUCCACAACGAGCUCCUGACGCAGCUGGAGCAGAAGGUGGAGCUGGACUCCCGCUACCUGAGUGCUGCGCUGAAGAAAUACCAGACAGAGCAGAGGAGCAAGGGGGACUCCCUGGACAAGUGCCAGGCAGAGCUGAAGAAACUCCGCAAGAAGAGCCAGGGCAGCAAGAACCCACAGAAGUACUCGGACAAGGAGCUGCAGUACAUCGAAGCCAUCAGCAACAAGCAAGGGGAGCUGGAAAACUACGUUUCUGAUGGCUACAAGACAGCUCUGACGGAAGAGAGGAGACGGUUCUGCUUCCUGGUGGAGAAACAGUGCGCGGUGGCCAAGAGCGCCAUCACCUACCACGCCAAGGGGAAGGAGAUGCUGACACAGAAGCUGCCUCUGUGGCAGCAGUCCUGCUCGGACCCCAACAAGAUCCCGGACCGCGCCAUACAGCUGAUGCAGCAGAUGGCUGCCAGCAGCAAUGGCACCAUCAUGCCCAGCCCUCUGUCCACAUCCAAGUCCAACCUCAUCAUCUCUGAUCCCAUCCCUGGUGCCAAACCUCUCCCUGUCCCCCCGGAGCUGGCACCUUUUGUAGGACGCAUGUCAGCACAGGAGGCCAUGCCAGUGAUGAACGGAGUCUCAGGCUCUGACAGCGACGGGUACAACCACUGGUCUGAGAUGAAGCCAGCACAGCCCAAAUCUUUAUCUCCUCCCCAGCCUCAGAAGCAGCUGAGUGACUCUUACUCCAAUACACUCCCAGUUCGCAAAAACGUGGCACCGAAAAACAGCUACGCCUCAGCUGAAAACAAGACACUGCCACGCUCCAGCUCCAUGGCCGCCGGGCUCGAGAGGAACGGCCGGACGAGGGUGCAGGCGAUUUUCUCGCACGCUGCCGGGGAUAACAGCACCCUCCUGAGCUUCAAGGAGGGGGACCUCAUCACACUGCUGGUGCCCGAGGCCCGGGACGGCUGGCACUACGGAGAGAGCGAGAAAACCAAAAUGAGGGGCUGGUUUCCUUUCUCCUACACACGGGUCCUUGACAAUGAUGGCAGCGAGCGGGUCCACACCAGCCUGCAGCAAGGGAAGAGCAGCAGCACUGGCAACCUGCUGGACAAGGAUGACAUCUCCAUCCCGCCGCCAGACUAUGGCAUGGCCUCGCAGGCCUUCCCGGCACAGGGCAGCAACACCUUCAAGCAGCGGCCGUACAGCGUGGCCGUGCCCGCCUUCUCCCAGGGUCUCGAUGACUACGGGACGAGGUCUGUCAACAGCGGCAGUGGCAGUUUGGUAUCAACGGUGUGAGGACACCUGGGCUCGCAGCGGCCCCUUGCUGCUUGGAAGAGCUUUCUGCUUCUUUCCCCCCCUUUUUUUUUCCUUCCCUUUCGUUUCUCUUUCUCUACUUCUUUUGGAUUUGAAACUCUUGUGAUCUUCAAGGAAACCAUGGUGCUUCUCACCCCUCCCUGGUGUUCACAGUGCCCUUGUUUCUGAAGCCUUUUUGGAGCAGAAACUGCUGCCAGGUCUGUGCUCACAGCCCAGGCGCAGUUGUCACUUAGUGGGACCCGGUGUUUGUCCUCCCGUGUGAUGUUAGCGAUGCACUGUCCCCCCAGGGGCCGCGCCGGCCGCCCCGCACGAGCCUGGACCAAACUCCCAGACUGGAUCACAUAUGCAUGGCCUCUGGUGUCCGUACUGUUACUGAGCAUCCGGGAUGCCCGCGCCCGGGAUGCCGUUCCCGGAGGGGGGGCAGCGUCCCCGCGCCUCCCCCUCGGCCCGAUCCGCUUCCAUGCCACCGCGGUGGCUUUGGGAGAAGCGGAUGGCACAGAGCUCCCGCCCCGGGCAAAGGGCUGCUUCUGGGCUGGGGUCCCACUGGCCGUGGGAGCCCCCCCGAAGGGUUACUCCUGGUUGUUUUAUAAAUAUAUAUAUAUAUAUAUUUUUUGUAGCAAGGUAUUGUUACCUCACGCUAGGGCUGGGGCUCCGAGGACUGCUCGCAUGCCCAAACCAGGCUGAGCAAGGCAGUGCCCGGGGGGCUCCCACCCCGCACUGGGGGUCCCGCUCCGCACUAGCCUGGCCGUAGCCCUCCCAGUGCCCGUGGCCGUCUCCACUGCAAAGCUGUUCACGCUUUUUUCUGAUGUGAUUUUUAAGACCUCUGACAUUGCCUGUUUACUGGGACAUUGCUGGCAAUAGACCCCCCCACCCCGGACCAGUUUUUGGGUUAUCUCCUCGCCUACGGGCACACUGUUCUGAGCCCCUCCUGCAUCGAUGUCCGAAUUUUGCUAAGGAUUUUUAACCCAGGAUAUUUCACCAUGAAUGACUGAAUGUAGAGGGGGAAAAAAAACAAACAAAAAACCACAAACCCAGCCUAGCAAAGCCUGUGUGGAGAUUGUAAAGUGCUGAAAAACCUUUUUUUAAAAGCCAGAGAGAAUUGUGCCCUGUACUGAGUUAUUGUUUGAAUAAAAGUUUUAUUUAUUGCAUUGAGCUGGGCCUCGGUGUCUUUUUCGGCUGCCGUGCCUGCGUGCUGCCCUCAGCGCCUGCAUCGCCCACCGCGCAUUCCCAGGCCGUGUUUUUGUUCCCUGCUCCGGCCCCGGGGAUGCUGCCUGUGCGCGCUCAGCCCCUCGGCACUAAACAGCUUCGCUGAGCGGGAGCAGCGACAGCUGCUUUAGAGCCGGGUCCCCUCCCUGAGCAUCCGAGGGGUGAUGCUGCUCCUGCUCCCGCAUGCCAAGGCUCCGGCUGCGCUUUCCCGGCGGUGGGAAAGCGGCGAUGGCCGGCACGGGGGAAGGAAGCCGCCCCCUCCCUUCCGCAGCCCCCGCCGUGCCCGGCCGCUGCACUCCCUCAGCUCCCGGCUGGCCGUGCCCUUCCUUCCCCUCCUCACAGCACCAGCGACUCAAUAAACACGACUUUUCCUCCUUUUUCUUCUUUUUCCUCCUGUUUCCUCUGCCUGCUAGCGCUGCGUGCGGGGUGGCCAGCGGGCUCUCGGGCCAGGUGGCCACCGGCUCGUGGCCUUAAGUCUCUCCUUAACCACGACCUUCUGUUCCCAUCAAGCGUCCCGGCGUCCUCCAACCUGCCUUCUGUUUCCCUUGCAGCCCCGAUGUUGAAGUGGCCAGGUUUUGAGGUGGCCCUGCCCGUAGUUAGAACCCCUUUGCCAACGUCCAGCUGAAGCCAACGGUGACAAACGACCGCUCGGCCCCGCUCAUCAGCUGAUCCGGGAGCACUGGCGCCCGCGUGGCACUCGCCACCCCUCACCCUCCUCAUCCUCCUCCUCGCUGCUGCAUGCCCAGCUUCCCAGGACUCCAUUUCUAGGCCGAAUUUAUUAAUCCUGCUGCUUUGAAAGCCAAAGGCUCAAGCUAGUGCCCUAGUUCUCUCUUCUCUAGACUCCCUCGGUGGCAGGGGGUCACAGCGCUGCCAUGUCACCUGUCCUCUGCCUGUGCUGAGUGUGGUGGCACUUCCCGGAGUCAGGGCAGCGUGUCCCAGAGCCGGGGUGGCUCCCAGGCCCAGCAGCAGCUUGCUGUGGGUGGGGAAACGGGCUCAGCUGGAGAACAACUCCGUGGGCUCACAGUGCUCCAGGCAGAGAGGACACGGUGCCCCUGCUCUCCCUGCCCAGACAGGAGGGACCCCCCUGCAAGCCAAGCAUGGUGGGUGGCACAGGCAGCGCCCAGGCCGUGCUCCGGGCUGGGGCAGGGCAGUGGGUGCCAGCACUGCAGCCCCCGCUGGCACGGGGUCAGCUCCGGUCCCUGAGCUCCUGCUGUGCCAGGGCUCGGGAUGCUGCAGGGAAUCACGGUACUGCUGUCAAAUAUAAGCUAGGAAAAAACCACUCGUGGAGGAGAGGGCAGUGUGUGAGUGAGCCUUGGAGUGCCCCUGCUCGCUGCAGACAGGAGCUCCCAUCCGGACCUCUUGCUUGGCUGUUUGCUCUUCCUCUAUUCCUAGGGCUGCAUGAGAGAGAGAGAUAGAUAGAGAUCAAUAUAUAUCAAUAUAUAUACACACACACUUGCUAAGCUUACUGCUGGGGGUGCCCACGAGAAGGUGGCUCCCGCAGCCCUUCCCGCAGCUCCUGAGUGGCCAGGGUCACAUCCUUGCUCAAAAACAGGGAGAGGAGUUUCCAGGCAGGAACUGUGUCUCCCAUGGGUGAGGGCUUGAACCCAAACAGUUUUUGCUUUUUCCGUUGUAUUUCUCCUUUUGCACUUUCUGCUCACUGGUGCAGCAUGUCCUGGUCCCCACAGCCCGGGCAGUGGCUGCUUGGCUGGGCACUGGGCAGGGCACAGAGUGUCCCCAGCCCAGGGGCUCGGUCCCAGUCAGACGUGGUGGCUCAUCCCUCCUGUGUCCCCUCUGAUGGGUUUUCCAGCUCCACUGCAGGACAACAGCUUCUCCUGUGACUGCCCAGGCUCCAGCUCUGCACGAGGGUUCCCAGCUCCAUGAUGUGCCUCCUCUUCCUCUCCCAGGGCUGGAGCAGAUGGGUGCGGGGUGGACAGGGCAGGGGCAAGGGAAAGGGCUCUGCUGGGGGGUGAGGCAGUGGUGGGAGAGGGCUGGUGGUCACAGCCCGUGUUGGGGACAGGCCUGGGGUCCCCUUGGCCACUGCAGUGUCCUCUUCCACCCCCGUGCCAGGGGCUGUCCCCUGGGCCCCCCAAGCUGCCACCCUGGCUCCAGCCAGCCCCCGGGGGCUUCGCUGCACCUCCUGGCUCGGUGGCACCUGUAAGACGUAACCUGCAAUAAUUUUUUAUCAGAAAACAUAAUUUAUGAGCAAUUCAACCUCCCCCAGCCCUCCCUCCUGCAGCGUUUCCCCUGGCCAGAAGCUCCUGCCUGGCCCUGGAGCGUGGCCGGGGCCCUCCUGAGCUGGCUCCAUCCUGGGUGCUGGGCAAUGAUCGGGGCAGGAAACGGCUUAAGAUAUUUUAAAAACUUUAUUAUUGGCCCGAUGAGAUUUGACACACAUGCUGGGAGCUGUAUGGAAAUCAGCACUGAUAAAAAAUACAGCAAUUAUGACCCGUAUUGAGAAAAUAGACCAUGUAAGAAGAGCCUUUCUAUUAAAAAAGUUACCCAA